rnacentral:lncRNA from 1 species
UUUUUAAAUGGUAUUUUGACUGAGAGGGAAUGAUUUGUUCUAUGUUAAUGCAUAAAAUAUUUCAUAAUAAUAAUUUUCUCACUUUCUUGCUCAUAUAUACAUUUGCCCAUACAAUACAAAAGAUAGUCCAUAUAAUUAAUAAUCCGUACAAAAGAGAGCUAAAGGGUUAGACCGUCUAUAUAACUAAUAAUCCAUACAUAUAAUUAGAGGUCCGUACAAAUACUAAUCUAUGUAGCUUGUCGCGCAAUAAACAAAGAGCUCGCAAUCCUAUCUCGCGUGUCGUUCAUGUUGCCUUCAUCGGAUGAAGUGGGAACGACAUCGCCAAGCAAAGGUGUUGACCGUGAGACUGCAGGCAUGUAAUUUUCAUUAUCAUCACAUUUAUCAAACUCUUUAUCGCGUAGCUUGCUGUCCCUGAUGAAAUUGUGAAGCAUCAUACAAGCACUGAUAAUCACCGUCUGACUUCCCACCUUGAAGUGUGGCACAUCCCUUAGGAUGCGCCAUUUCUGCUUGAGCACACCAAAUGUGCGUUCAAUCAUGUUCCAAAGAGAAGAGUAAAGAUAAUUGAACACCUCAAAUUUACCACUCGCUGGGCGGCGGCCAGACCGAAAUUCGGCAAGGUGGUAGGUUGUCCCUUUGUAAGGAGCUAGAUACCCCACCCGGUUAGGAUAACCAGAAUCAACAAGGUAGUACAUAUCUACAUCCAUCGAGAAUAAAUUUGAGCACAUGUACAAAUUAAUACAAACAAUCUGUACAAAAUUAGAACACUUGAUUUGCGUACCUUCAGGAGGUGCAGGAUAAGUACUAGCAUACUUCAAUAUACUGUGGUGGAAAAUCCAUGUGUCAUGUACCGACCCCGCCCAACCGGCAACGACAAAGGUAAAUCUCAUGUCAAAGUCACAAACUGCCAACACAUUUUGACUUGUGUAACUAUGUCGACCCAUAUAGUUGCAGGUCUCUUUAGCGGGAACUAUAACGGGAAUGUGAGUUCCAUCAAUUGCACCAAUACAACCUUUGAAGUGAGGCCAGAAACGUUUGUCCCUAAUUUUUGGAUGCACAUCUGUGAAUGUAGGAUCUCUAGGUUUGAUGAUGUCUCCUCCUAGAGAAUUUACACAGUGCAACACAUGAUUGAACUUCCUAUGGAUUGUUUCAGUUGACCGAACAAACCGAUCUUCAGCUUGGCGAAAUGAUUGAGGGCCUCCAAGCAUCCACAAGAACAUGCCUAGACUUUCCAAUGAGUUCAUCUCGCUAGUUGACUCCAAAUGGUAGUCACUCACUAAAAGACCAUGCAAACUCAAGAAAACAUCUGGAUACAUUCUAAACAUUUUGUAGCAAGAUUUAGGACGUGCCAACUUUUCCAUAACCCAUUCAUGACCAGUUUGUACUGCAAUCCUCCUAGGCUGCCUACGUUGCUUAUUCAAACAAGUUUUGCUAUAGUGCAUAGUCAUUUGGCCCAAGGUUGCAAGAUCAGUACUUAACUUGAGCAAGUUUUUGUUGACAUCGAUUUCGGCCAAAGUGAAACAUGGUGCUUAGAUAUUACUAAAAUAAAGUAAUUUAUAUAAAAAUAGCAUGAUAAUUUUUUACCGCGCCACUCAAUAUAAAACAAUAGACCCGGAAAUAAAAGGGAAGGGAAUAAGCCAUAUCGCCAUGUAAAUUAGAGGAUAUAUACACAUACGCCAUCAUCAACGACGAAAUCCUGAUGUCGACACAAAUUCAAGUUUUAUAGACGAUGCUAAUAUUGUCAAUAUAUUAUAUCGCAUUUACGAGAAUUAUUCUAUCGUCAUGAAUGAAAUAUCAGCGACAAUCAUGUAAAACAAUAUGCUGCAUGGCAGUGUAAAAAAAUCAAGUCACCAUAUAAUCAUGAACUUGUGAAUAUUUUCUCAUGCCAUUAAAAUCAAUUUGGCUCAGCUAUCCCAGUCAUACCAAUGGCUAAGUACAUGUGUGGUGCAAGUACGAGCUAUACGUGCAUGCAUGUGUUAUGCAUGGGUUAAUUAUACGGUAAGAUUAAGAGCUAAUUGAGUAAUUAGCCAGCCCAUGGCCACAACAUGUAUAGCCUGCAUGCGUUAACUUAUUAUAAUCAGUUGGGCCCAUCCCACUAGAUUUUUUCAGCCCACUAGAGAGAUCAGAAAAGAAGUUGAUCAUGUAAAAGGCUCAGUCAAGUGCCUCACGAUCGACGGAACGUGGGCAAAGCUCCCACUACCCCACGAUCACAAGACGUAAACGUGCCCAGCCGGAGGCCUCCUGCUGCUCUCCUCGCUCCUAUAUAUACCAGCCCGGCCAGCGUGUUUGGCUGCUCAUCGAUCAAUCACUCAUUCGCGAAGAAGCUCGUCGCUGCUCAUUCACAUCCAUCCAUUGUUGCUUGCCUGCCAUCGCUCGCUUGCACACACACACACGCCUGCGUACACGCUGCCGGGCGUCCGUCUCGCCGUCGCGCCGGCCGUUUGUCCCGUCUCGCCGUCCGUCCCGCCACCGGCCGCCGUCUCAUCAUCGUCGACGUCAUGCCGACCGUCCGUCUUGCCGCAUAUAUAGUUUCUCAUCUCUUGGUUCGGUCUCAUGAUGAGCUUGAUCCCAUGUUGAUACAAAUUAAGGAAAUAGAUGAUAUGCCUAGUCUAGUCAUAUAUUGAUCUUCAUCCUAUAUACUGAUGCGAACUAAGUGCACAUGUGCAAUAAAAAAAUCUUCUUGUCUUUGUCUCAUGAUACAAGUCAAGACUAAAAAUUAUACUCAUCUUGUUUUGGUCUUAUGGUGGUCUUGCACCUCCAUGUUGAUACAAUUCAAGAACAAAUUAUAUAUAUCUUGUUUUGGUCCCAUGGUGAUGUUGCAUCUCCAUGAUGAUACAAGUCAAGAACAAAUUAUGUCCAUCUCGUUUUGGUCACAUGGUGAUCUUGAACAUCCAUGUUGAUACAAUUCAAGAAUCAAACCAUAUCCAUCUUGUUUUGGUCUCAUGGUGAUCUUGCAUCUCCGUGUUGAUACAAUUCAAGAACAAAUUAUAUAUGUCUUGUUUUGGUCUCAUGGUGAUCUUCCAUCUCCAUGAUGAUACAAUUCAAGAACUAAUUAUAUAUGUCUUGUUUUGGNNNNNNNNNNNNNNNNNNNNNNNNNNNNNNNNNNNNNNNNNNNNNNNNNNNNNNNNNNNNNNNNNNNNNNNNNNNNNNNNNNNNNNNNNNNNNNNNNNNNNNNNNNNNNNNNNNNNNNNNNNNNNNNNNNNNNNNNNNNNNNNNNNNNNNNNNNNNNNNNNNNNNNNNNNNNNNNNNNNNNNNNNNNNNNNNNNNNNNNNNNNNNNNNNNNNNNNNNNNNNNNNNNNNNNNNNNNNNNNNNNNNNNNNNNNNNNNNNNNNNNNNNNNNNNNNNNNNNNNNNNNNNNNNNNNNNNNNNNNNNNNNNNNNNNNNNNNNNNNNNNNNNNNNNNNNNNNNNNNNNNNNNNNNNNNNNNNNNNNNNNNNNNNNNNNNNNNNNNNNNNNNNNNNNNNNNNNNNNNNNNNNNNNNNNNNNNNNNNNNNNNNNNNNNNNNNNNNNNNNNNNNNNNNNNAUCUCCGUGAUGAUACAAGUCAAGAACAAAUUAUGUCCAUCUUGUUUUGGUCACAUGGUGAUCUUGAACAUCCAUGUUGAUACAAUUCAAGAAUCAAACCAUAUUCAUCUUGUUUUGGUCUCAUGGUGAUCUUGCAUCUCCGUGUUGAUACAAUUCAAAAACAAAUUGUAUAUGUCUUGUUUUGGUCUCAUGGUGAUCUUGCAUCUCCAUGAUGAUACAACUCAAGAACAAAUUAUGUCCAUCUCAUUUUGGUCUCAUGGUGAUCUUGCAUCUCCAUGUUGAUACAACUCAAGAAUAUAAGAGAAAUUCAUGCUGGUAGAAAGCAAGAUAGAUUUUCUCCUUGUGAAAUAUGGGAGGCCAAGAAAAGUAAAUAUUGCUUGUCAUUUGCAUCGGCUUGAGCUGAUUUAGUCAGAUCACUCAUGUAUUACCCUCAUAUGAAGGCAUGUAACAACAAGUUAAAUUACAUGAUAGAUAAUUUCCCUAUAGCGAUUUGCACUACAUACGACAGAGUGUGCUUGCAAUAUGGAAAUACGUAAAAUAAAUUUGAUAUUGAAACAUGCAUAUUUAUUCAUAUAUAGCUAAACUUGAGUCGACAAUCUUCAUAGACCCCAUCAUGUCCAUGCAAAACGUAACAUACUUCCAUUUGAUUACACCAUGAGCAUACAAUCUAUGCUAUGCCGGUGAUAAUACAAGCAAGAAGAAAUCACCAUACUUCAUUUAGUUAUGCUACACAUGGGCACAAUGUUGCUACAUGAUGUUAGUACAAAUACAAGUGAAGUGAAAUGCAGUUGAGAUUCAAACCCAUAUAAAUAUUUGACUAGAUUCAUUUAGUCGCAUAAGAUUAUCUCUCAGAUAAAUUAAAAUCAAACCAUGAAUUUCUUUCAUAUAGGUGCAUGCAUCUAUGAAAUUUAACUGGGGUCAUAGCCUAUGUUGAUUAUACUAAACAUGGCAUAGUACAAUUGAAUAUGUCAUCGCCAAUUUUCAUAUAGUUCUCGCAUAUGAUGGCUCGGUGCAAUGCUUUAUACGUUGCUAUAAAGUAAAUCGAAUAUUCCGCCAUUUUAGGCGUGCAUAUAGAAACCACAUGCGUGUCAAAAUUAACUCAUAAAAAGAGUUAUGCCCCAUAUUGCACAUGCGCACGUUAGCUCGGCUGGUUAACCAUUAAAUAAAUCUUUAUAUGACUGAAAAGACAACCACUACAUAUUUGCGAUGGUUAAUAAGCUAGGCAUGAUCGUGCUAUAUGAAUGAACAUUGUCAAAUCAUGAAUGUUAUGCAACGCAUAUGUUAGCAUAGACAAAGUUCAAGGCUCUCCGAGUACGCCGACGUCGAAGACCGCGAGGAGGAUUAUUUAUUUUUACAUUUUGUAGUCUUCUUUUUCUACAUUUUGUAGUACUCAUGUGUUGCAAUUCUAUGUAAUAGGAUAGUUGGAAUUCUUAAUCAGGGGUUUUCCCUUCGGAGAUGUAAUUAACAGAUCUUUUAUGUAAAUGUAAGAGUUCUGGAAAUAAUGUACCUGCAAUGUUUGAUCUCCUUUUUAUUGUAUGCAUUUACGCAUUUAAAUAUAUUCAUUCUGUAUCAAUGACGUGGACGCGUAUCCUCACAUCCGCCAUUUUCCCGUCAUCAGAUUCUGGCACGCCCAGUGGGACAUAUUUCUCCCCUCAUCUUUGAAUUCCAACAUGGGAUUGCAACAUAUGAAUUCCCAUAGUACAUAAAGCAUAAAACAUUAUGUACCCAUAUACAAAAAAAAGGUCAAAGAAAACUACUAUAUGGUUUUCUUUAUUUUGAAGGUAUGGAGGGCCAAGUGCAACAGUUUGUGACCCUUCGCUUCGGUGACCUCUGGCUUGAUGUGCCAAUUGGUCCUAUCGUGACCUCACUAAGUGAAAGUUGGAAGACUACUGCUGCAUCUCCAGUUGUACCAGAUCAAGAAGAAGUCACUUCUCCACCAAUGGAGGGGUUCACACCUGUUUUUUCAAAGUCUGCAAAGAGGAAAAUGAGGGCUGCUAGAAAUAGGGUUGCUCAGAGUUCUGCAAGAGUGGUUACUCAUGCUCCAGUGUCAGUAAUGAAAGGAAAGACUGUUGAAGCAGGACCAUCCGUUCGCCAGCAGUCCAAGGACAAGGGAAAGAAAGUGGUGUUGGAGAAAUUCGAGUUUCCGCUACUUGUUUACAAGGGAAAAGAGGAGAUGGUGGAGACACCCAACUCCAAGCUACCUGGGAAAAGAGGCGGCGUUGCGGUCAUAUUGCCGUCAGCCUCGUCUUCAACAGGAAGGCCCACCAACGCUCGGAAUAUACUUCAAGCCGAUGCUCUUGAGUUUGUCCCCUCACUGGCCCAUAAACCUAGUGAGGAAUGCUUAGGAAUAAUGAAAAAACGUUCCCUGGAAUGGAAGGGAGUGUGACUUACACCUGGUGACCUCAAAACAGGCCACAUAGAUCCAACAUCUGCACCAUCAGUUCCUCUGUUUGAAGAAGCACCCAUCUUACGAGAGUCCUUUGAAGGUUCGUUUGAUCCAAUGUGACAUGAAUGGCGACAGAGAAAUGUCCGUCGAUCUUGGAUUGAUCUUCCAGCUGUCGUAGAUCAAGAUGCGGCGAGCCGACACCGUUCUCAUGUGAGCAUGUCUGUCAAGGGGAGAUGGAAAAACACUCGUCCAAAGAUCCAAGUUCAGAAUCCAGAUGAAUCAUAUGUUGUUAAAUGCAUAUGUCAAGCAAUAAGGUCAUAGCUUCCCGGUGCAUCCACAUCACAAAAUGAUGAGGGUGGUGCCAUCAUGCGACUGGCGGAGGCCCUGGCCCAACGACCUGAGUACCAAGAGUACAUUCAGCAGCAUCCUAAACACCAAGAGUAUGUGAACCAAGCUGCUCGUGUCCGUUCAAGAAGGGCGAUGUACAAAGAAAGAGAAAGGGCAGUACGGGCAAGGUCUGGGUCGAGCAGAGUCCAAGGGGCAGAACACAUUCCAUCGGAUGAGGACAGUCGGGCUAAAGUGAACAAGUGGCUAUCAAAUCCAUCAAAUGAGGUGGCCACGAGCUUGUCUCCAUGGCCCUCUCGUAAGCAGACCAAGAAUAAAUCAUUCGAGGUGUUCCAAGCAAUGCCAGUUGGUGUCAGGGCGGCGUCAGACAAGACCAGCGAAACAUCCUCCACAUCAAUACAUUUCAAGAGGAAGAAGGCACGCAAAACUAUCGUAGAAGGUCCUCGUCGUAAGACACGAAGCCAAAAGGGUUCAGAUUAUGAAGAACUUGGGUCCAGCUGUGGUGGGUCUUAUAAUCCCCUAUCAGACAGUACCCCUUGUCCUUCUGAAAAUGAGAUAGAACUCCGCCAUAGUGCAGAGCAUACAAACCAAGUCCUAGCCGCGAAUGAAACUCGUUCGGUUGAAGAGCAAUUAGCCAACCUUAUGGCAGCACUUCAGCAAAAGGAAGACGAGCUUGCAGCCCUUCGAGUUCAAAUGAACAACAACCAAAACAAAGGAAAUGAAGGGGAUGGUGGCGCAAGUGCUAGCAGCCAACAUGGAGGAGCAGGGCUUAACCUUGAGGCGAUCCAAAGAAUGAUCGCUAAAGGGGUAAAGUCGCAGUUGAUGCAAACUCAGUACUCGAUGCGGCCAGGGUAUGUUAAGCCGUACCCACCUGAUGUGGACCUAGUUCCUUUCCCAACAAAUUACAGGCAACCGCAGUUUAGUAAGUUCAACAGGAGUGGAUCUCCCCAUGAGCACAUAGCACACUUCCUUGCUGCUUGUCAGGAUACAGCUAACAACGGAGCACUUCUCCUUAGGCAGUUUGUACAGACAUUGUCCGGGCCUGCCUUCACUUGGUACAGCAAACUACCUCCAAGCUCCAUAGAAACGUGGGAACAAAUGCAAAACUCAUUCCUCGAGCAGUUUUAUAGCACAUAGAGGACGGUGGGCAUAACUAAGUUGACCCAAAGUGAACAGAGGUUCAAUGAGAGGGCAGCUGAUUUCAUAAAUAGAUGGAGAAACCUAAGUCUUCACUGCCCACAACCAAUUACUGAGCCAGAAGCAGCGCGCAUGUGCAUGAACAAUCUCCGCUCAGAAGUGGCCGUCCAGUUACAAGGAGUGAGGCCCCUCACGUUUGGAGAGUUAGCUUCCAAAUCCACGAAUAUAGAAAAUUUUAUGCAGCUUGUCGCUCGUCGAACAAAAACGACGUUCAACAAGCCUACAUACAAAGGUGGUCAGCGUGAAAAGUUGCCGAUGAAACCCAAGUCUGCAUAAGCCAUGGAGACAACAACGGUAAAACCUCGGUUUCAGCCCGGAAGAGCACCUAUAGGGAACCAAGGACAACGAGAUGCACAUGUUGGUAGGAGGCCAACUCUAAGCGAACGACAAAACAGGGAGUACUCUUUUCCUGUAGAAGAAAUUGAUGACCUUUUCACUGGUUUAAAGGAGUUGAGUCUGAUAGAACUUUCCAAGCCCAAAAGGCCGGAAGAAGCUUCAAAAUUUGAUGAUCCAAAUUUCUGUCACUACCAUCGCAUUUUGGGCCAUACACUCAAAGAUUGCUUUGUUGUGAAGAAUAUCAUCCAGAAAAUGAUCGAUGAGGGGACCAUUGAUGCGGAUCUCCUCAAAAGCAUGACAAAGGGAAAGAAAAAGGCUUCAGAAAAUGUCGCCACCCUCCAAGAUGAAGCGGUGAGUUGUGCAUCUUCAAAUAUGAGGGGUACUUAUGAUGAUUCAAUACUGAUUUCCGAAUAUGGUUGUUCUCCUAUGAUAAUUCCAGGCCUUGCCAAAUCGCAAGAUCAGCAUAAAGGAGAGGCUCACAUUCCCUGCAGUAAUGGUGCAGCCCAAGAUUGGGGGCAACGGCGGUCAAAACGCCGUGUACUACCCCCAGUGAUGGAAGAAGCCCCUCCUCUGCGCUUCGCACGAAAGAUAUAUCAGCACACCACGAAGCGCAUGAGAGUACCAAGUGAAGAAUUCAAUGUUCUCACUAUUGGUGUGUUCGAGGAUGACGGCGAGUCUCUGUGCUUCCCUGAAGAAGAACCGUUAGAAGUUGAUCAGGUUCAUCUUAGAUCAGGUCGUCAAUUAGCAGACCCUCAUCCUCCACCUUGAAAGGAACCAAAAAGUAAGGAUGCAGUUCCGAAUGAUUCGACGGACCCUGCAUGUAGGGUGCCAGUCAAGUAUGAUGUAAUCGCACAUUUGAAGAAAAUACCAGCUAUGCUUUCUGUGUAUGAUGCUUUGUGUCUUUCAUCUGAUAUGCGUAAAGCUCUUGUCACGGCACUCACGUUUCUUGAAGACUACAGAGUAGAAGUAUCUCAAACCGAGGUAGAAGAAUCUGAAGUUCUAAAUAUGACGUUCACAGAUGAGGAUAUGUUAUUAGGCCCCAAGAAGCACAACAGACCUCUUCUCAUGUUCGGCGAAAUUGAUGUAUUGCCAAUAAAUCGCAUAAUGAUAGAUGGUGGGUCAGCUAUAAAUCUGCUACCAUUGCGUACGCUCAAAAAGAUUGGAUAUUCCAAGGGAGAUUUGAGCAAGUCUAACGUGGUUAUACAUGGAUUUAACCAAUCAGGACAAGAAGCUAUGGGUACCAUUUCGUUGGUUUUAAAAUUGGAUACAUUAUCCACAUAUGUGAAGUUUCACGUGAUUGAUGCGGCUACAUCAUAUAAUGCAUUGCUUGGACGCCCAUGGUUACACGAUAAUCAAGUUGUGCCAUCCACUUUACAUCAGUGUUUCAAAUAUAUAGAUCGGACAGGUGAUACAAUCAGAAUAUUUGCUGAUAAGAAGCCAUUCACUAUAGCCGAAUCUUUCUAUGCUGAUGCAAAGUUCUACUUCGAGCCCGUUGAUAAGGUGUAGAAGCCAAAAUCCUGGAAAAUACCCGAGCCAAAUGUGGUAGAAAAGGAGGUCGUAGAAUCCUCGUCAAAGAAAAAGACCUAUCAGUAUAUACCAAGCAACCAAAGGAAGAAGGGUGACCCAAUAUUUCGUGUCAUAGACAAAUCCCAUGACAUGAAAGGUACUAAUUUCCCUACACCUUUACCUCCUUUGGUACAAUAUAGAAUAAAACAAUCCCAAAAAGAGUCGCGUCGUUCAAACGUCGGUGAAAGUGAAAAGAGAAAUACAACACAAAUAUUUGCGUUUAACAAAGAUGAUGAAUCUUUACCCAUUUCUUUGUAUGAUAACAGGGUCUUGUACAUGAUGCAGCAAAUGGGCUAUGACAUCGCCACUGGCCCGUCCUUAUGUGAUGGCCGGGGACAACUAGCACCAUUCAAAAAUGUGUUAUCUCAAGAACAACUCGAAGCUCUGCAUGAAGACCAUGUUUUAAAAGAAAUGAAGCAUGGGUUAGGAUAUGAGGUUUGUAUGGCUUCGGCUGAGUAUACGAACAUGACAGAAGCAUCUCCACAAAUGGAGGAUGGCAACCAAUGUACCGUGGAUGACUUGGAAGAAAUAAAUAUUGGUACGACUGAUGAUCCUCUUCCAAUUUUUAUUAGCAAACAUUUGUCCAAAGAAAAUAAACUAAAAUAUCAUGAAUUCCUACGUGCAAAUAGAGACGUAUUCGCUUGGACUUAUGAAGAAAUGCCUGGGUUGGACCCAAACAUAGCUGUCCAUCGCCUUGAUGUGCGAGAUGAUGCCACACCAGUGAAGCAAGCUCAAAGAAAGUACCGGCCUGAAAUACUUCCGCAAAUAGAAGCCGAGGUCGACAAACUCAUAGCCGCAGGGUUUAUUAGAGAAGUCAAAUAUCCCACAUGGGUCUCUUGUAUUGUACCAGUUAAAAAGAAGAAUGGUUAAACACGCAUAUGUGUAGAUUUCAGGGAUAUGAAUAAAGCAUGUCCUAAAGAUGAUUUCCCAAUACCCAUCUCUAAAAUACUAGUUGAUGCUACUAUGGGGCAUGAAAUAUUUUCUUCCAUGGAUGGUUGUUCCGGCUAUAAUCAAAUUAAAAUGGCACUUGAAGAUGAAGAGUUAACAGCAUUCCGCACACCUAAAGGCAUAUAUUGCUAUAAAGUAAUGCCUUUGGGAUUAAAAAAUGCUGGGGCGACAUAUCAACAAGCAAUGACAAUCAUCUUAGACGGGUUGUUAUAUGUGAUCAUUGAAUGCUAUAUAGAUGACAUAGUUGUGAAAUCAAAGCACGAACAAGACCACCUGAAACACCUUGAAAUGGUUUUUGAGCGUCUCAGGCAACAUAAUCUUAAAAUGAACCCCAUGAAGUGCGCGUUCGGAGUUUCCUCUGGAAAAUUUCUCGGUUUUGUGGUUACAAAAAAUGGUAUUCAGAUCGAUCCAAGUAAAAUAAAGGCGAUUGUUAAGAUGCCAUCACCCACUAACUUACAUGAACUGAAGAGUUUCCAAGGCCACCUAGCAUAUAUUAGGAGGUUUAUCUCAAAUUUAUCUGGGAGAUGCAAACCUUUCUCGUGGCUUAUGAAGAAAGGAGUCCCUUUUGAAUGGGAUCAAACAUGCCAAAAUGCAUUCCUAGAAAUUAAGAAAAUUUGAUAAAUCCUCCUGUUUUAGGCGCACCGAUUAAAGACCGACCAUUAAUUCUCUAUACUGCUGCAAUGCCUACUUCACUAGGAGCACUCCUGGCGCAAAAUAAUGAUGUAGGAAAGGAAACAUCCUUGUAUUAUCUUAGCCGCGCCUUGGUAGGGGCCGAGUGCAACUAUCCAGACAUGGAAAAAAUAUGUCUCGCACUGGUGUUCGCUGCACAAAAAUUGCGACACUACAUGUUAGAACACACUGUACAUUUAGUCUCAAGAGCAGACCCACUCAGAUAUAUCUUAAGUAAAAUGGUACUCUCAGGGAGACUAGCUAAAUGGGCGAUGCUUUUGUCACAAUUUGACAUCACGUAUAUACCGCAAAAGGCCGUAAAAGGCCAAGCUUUGGCUAACUUCCUUGCGGCACAUCCGAUCCCAGAUGAUUUUCCUAUAGAUGAUGACUUGCUAGAUGAGGACGUAUUCGCCACGACGGUUACAAAAUCAACGUGGCAAAUGUACUUUGAUGGCGCUUGCCGGCAAUCUGGGUUAGGCGCCAGAGUCAUUUUCAUUACGCCUAACGGAGGGGUGAUCCCAUACUCAUUUACCCUAACCUCGGCGGUGUCAAAUAAUUCGGCCGAAUAUGAAGCUCUUAUCAUUGGGCUUGAAAUAGCAAUAAACAUGGGGCUCGAUACGCUCUCUGUUUAUGGGGACUCACAAUUAGUGAUUAAUCAACUGAUGGGGACCUACAUGGUAAAGAAACAAGAAUUGUUGCCAUAUUUCGAAAGGGCAAAAGAGCUCCUAGCUAUGUUCAAAGAUCUAAAUAUUCAACACGUAGUUAGGAACCAAAAUGAAAAGGCCGAUGCCUUAGCUGGUUUAGCUGAUGGUAUGUCAUUAAACUCAGACGAAACAAUGGGCGUACAUGUAGAGGAGCGAAGAAUACUGCCAAUAUUUGCUGAAGAAGAAGAAGCGAUAGUAUCUUCUGCAAUGACAGCUGAUGUAUGUGAAAUCGAGGUAGGGGAUUGGCGAGCUCCGUUCCUCGAAUAUCUACUCAUGGAUACCUACCUCUUGAUGCUAGCGAAAGAUCUAGAAUUCUCAAAAGGUCAACCCAUUACACAUGCAUCAAUGACAUACUCUAUAGGCAUUCCCAUGAUGGCAUAUUAUUGCGCUGCCUUGCCGGAAAUGAAGUUAUGGAGGCCUUAAAUGAGGUGCAUGCUGGAAUAUGUGGCUCGCACCAAUCAGGGCCUAAAUUGCACUAACAAUUAAGGCGUCUAGGUUACUACUGGCCCAUAAUGUUUGAAGACGCCACUAAAUUUGCAAAGAAAUGCCAUGAAUGUCAAGUGCAUGCUGACUUUAUACAUCAGCCGCAUGAACCACUCCAUGCGACAAAUAUGUCUUGGACUUUUGAAAUGUGGGGAAUGGAUAUAGUUGGGCCAAUUCAUCCACCAUCGUCCAAAGGUCACAAAUUUAUUUUGGCAGCAACAGACUAUUUUUCCAAGUGGGCUGAACUUACACCACUGAAGGAAGACAAAGCGGAGAAUGUAGAAUAUUUUAUAAGAACACAACUCAUUUAUCGCUUUGGUGUUCCUUCUUGGAUUAUGUCUGAUAAUGGAACUCCGUUUAAAAACAAACAAGUGGAGAGAUUAUGCUCAAAGUUUAAGAUAGACCAUCAUUACUCCACGGCAUAUAAUCCUGCCGUCAAUGGACAAGCAGAAGCUUUCAACAAAACUCUUUGCAAGUUACUAAAGAAAGUUGUAUAAAAAAAUAAACGUGACUGGCAUGAAAAGCUUCUCGAAGCCUUGUGGGCUUAUAGAACCACAACACGCACGCCGACAGGAAUGACACCUUAUUCCUUAGUAUUUGGAGGAGAAGUUGUUCUACCUUUGGAGGUACAGAUCACGUCGUUGAGGGUCGCUACACAUGAAAAUUUGUCGGAAGAAAAAUCAGUACAAUUACGUCUCGAUGAAUUAGAAAGACUAGAAGGUAGACGACUUCAAGCUUUGCAAAAUCUUGAGGCAUAUCAAGCUAGGAUAUCCCGAGCAUUCGACAAACGAGUCAAAAGAAGGUCGUUCAAACAAGGAGAUCUAGUACUUGCGGUCAUCCGUCCUAUGAAUAUCGCGCGACAGAUGAAAGGAAAAUUUGAACCAAAAUGGGAAGGUCCCUUCGUUAUAAAAGAGGUUUAUUCUAGCGGCGCAUAUAGAAUCAUAUCACCGGAUGGGGAAUACUCGCCGGCACCGGUAAAUGGGAAAUUCCUUAAGCGUUACUAUGCACCCUCACGAGUCUAAACUGGGGCGCAUAAGAAAAAAAAAGAGAAUAUACUCCAUACCUUCACGAGUCUAAACUAGGACACAAAAAAAUACUACUCCAACGACUUACGAGUAUAAACUGUGAUGCAAAUAAAACAAAUCAUCGAGGGCGCUCCAUACCCUCAUGAGCAUAAACCGGGGCAGACCAAAAUCACUCCAAUAAACUUACGAGUCUAAACUGUGGCAGAUUUUUUUUAUAGACUCCAACAACUUACGAGUAUAAACUAUGAUGUAAAAAAAAUUAAUUCCAGACUUCAUAAGCUUAAACCGCCGUACAAAAAAAUGGUACGUACAUGCAUUUAUAUAAUAAAAAAAUUGGAUAAAAUAAAUAAGGCUUCAGGCCAUACACAACGAUAGUGUAAAUAAAUAAGGAUGCUUCAACGUCAAGACUGGCGUACUAACACAUCAUGCAUAAAAUUUGGAGUUCCCACGUGAAUAAAGAAAGUACUGAUACAUCUGAAUUGAAACUGAAGACUGAAAUUAAAUGGUUCGAAGCGGAAUGAUGGUUUGAAAUGACCAAAAAAACUAAACGAAGUCGACGCCCUCUCAAGGAGCUCGCCAGUUCUGCAGGUUGUUCAACAACUGACUUGCUUCGGUCUUUAAAUCUGUUGUCUUUUGUUUAAAUUUAGCAAGCCUUGUACGUUUGCCAGCAUUGGUAUCCUGUAGACUCUUCAGCAACUUCUUCUGUUCAGAUUGAUGGGCAUCAUGUGCUUGUCGGCGCUGUUCCAUUUCCAAUUUAAGCUUGUGCAAAGUAGCAGUAACCUCUUCAAGCUGGGCCUUCAAUUCUGCUUCUUGUGCCUCCAUUUCAGUGCACUUAUUUUCCACGGCAGAUAAGUCCCCAAUUAUGUCCUUGGAAACUUCAUGGCCAAACUUAAUAUUAAGUUCUAUUUCAGCAACAACAUGUUCAUCUCGCUCGGAUUCUUUCGUGAAUUCGGUCUGGCCACUCUCCAACUUCUUGGAAAGGUCAAUAAGCCCGACCAACAUGGCCUGCACCUUAGCUACCUCAGGCACUUGCGUGGGCAGCGUCUGAGAAACACUCUCAAGCAUGAUGCGUCGCUCGGGAUCACCAAGGGUAGAGUCGUUCAGUCCUUUGAGGGCUCGUUUCACUAUGAAAUCUGUAGCAUCCAUAAACAUGUCCUUGAUGAAACUGCAGUCCAUCUGUGCGCCUUUCCCUGAUACAACCAUCACCUCAGGGUCUGGUGAGUGGCGAAUUUCUUGGUCACAACCUAAAAAAAGGAAGAGUCGUGAGAAUUUGAUGAUAAUGAUGGUUCAUAGAUACGGCCAAUUAAAUAAAUAUUUAUAGGUAAAUAAACUACCAGUUAAAGUUGAUAAGAAAUCAAGAGCAUUAGGGGUAUGGGGCACAACUUUAGUCGCACCUGGGCUGGAAGGUGGAUAACUUGUGCCACACUCGCCAAAGGUAUAAUCCUCGACAGAUAAAUCGAAAAGGUCACCAAGGCCAUGGUCCUUUUCUCCCGUGAGAACAUGGCCAAAAUCUUCAUCAUUAACAAAGCUACUAAGUUCAACAUCUAUUGACGGACCGUCCAAGGUUAUUGGUUCAGAAAAAUCAUUUUCUUGGGAAAAAUCAAGUUUGCGCUUGAAGGGGAGCCUCUCUUCUUCGUCAGCAUGAGUGGGCCAUAAAUUUCUACGCUUCUGUCCGCCGGUGGCCAGGGCAGUUUCCGGAAGAUCAUCACUACACACUAGCAAUGGAUGAGCAGAGGAAGAACCAACUGCAACAACAGACUUUGAUACGCCACUUUGCUGCAGCUAUAUAUAUAUAAAAGGAUGAUAUUAUUAGUACUGAUUAGUACAACAAAGAAAUGAACAAGUUGCACGCAGACCAUUAACUCACCUCUCUAGAUUUCAUGGGUUGAGUAGCAACAACAUCCUUAACCUUUCGCUUCUUCUAUUAAAAGGAGAUAUAGAAAAAAUGAGACAAAGAAAGGAGCAAACGAACUAUGGUAGUACCAAAUAUAUAUAGACGUAUAUAUCUUACCUUUUUCGAGUUGAUUAAAGGUUCAUCAUUUGAGAGAAAGCCACACAGAAUGGGACACCAGUGGUCCAUAAUUAUCUUUCCAUUCAAUUUGAUGGCUGCAAUAUGUUCCUCCCUACCCCUGGCGGAGGCUUCCUUUAUAACAACAAAAUCAUUCUCUGAAAGCUUGCGAGGAACUAUGUACUCCUCCCCACGUUUCAAAAAAUUACGUUUCCGCCUAUUAUAAUUCGGACCAUUCGAGAUGCCCGGACGAAGAGUAUUGAAUAUGUUGUUAAAUGGUUUCAUAAAUCCCACCCACCAGUUGUUCCAGGCCACAGAAGAAAAUGCCUCAUGCGCAUCGUUAAGAAGGUACUAGAACUCCCCUUGGUCCGAGCGUAACAAAUGCGACCAAUACGCAUAUGCAACUCCAAUAUCCGCCUUUGUGUACACGCUGACCAACGGAGCAUAGGGCACUUGUUGUCUCAAAGUAAGUUGUCGUGCAACUCGAUCAGGAUGAUAUGGCUCCGCUAUGCAAAGAUCAUCAACAUCAGUAGCACGCCUCCAUGGAAGCAUACCCCGAUGUGAAGAAAUGGUGAAGGACCUUUGCAACUGAUCCACCCCGACUAAGUUCUUUGGAGCAUAAGGAUUCCAAAAAAUAUUGGCUCGGUCAUCAAGGAAAAUGCGUGCCUUAGCAGGACUGAAAGUUAUGGGAACCCGAAACAUAGUUUUAACCAUGGUUGGAUGCAUCGGCAGUUGCUUAACAUCUCGAAGAUGUUUCCCUUUCACUUUGUCCUUAAAUGGUUUUCUCAGAUAAAGACCCAUCCACCCCGCGAUAUAAUGCACUGGCCAAAUUCUUUUCUCAUAGGAGGGAGCAACGGGGUGCAUACUGAUCCUUCGAAGAGAAUAAUACAAUGAACAAAGUGCUGAGGGGGCCAAAGAGAUCUUGCGACCCGAGACGAUCCAAGAGGCCAUAAGAAGGACACCGGGACGAAUAUAAGGCCCCCCACCAACAACCACGUAAGAGCAAAGCCAGUGGGCUAUAAAAGCCGCAAUAUACAUGUGUUGUUCCCGAAGGGAGGUGAAAGACGAAGUGCGUUCGCGUUUGUUAUGGAAAUGGUCACACCAAACUUGAAAAGUCACACUCCCAUUUUCGCGGCUGAGCCGGUAGAAUUCUUCUAAAAGACCAGAUAAGAAAUUUGGGAACAUAAGCUUUGAAGGUUCUAGGUCAUCUAUAGAAGGAACAUAUUCCUCGUAUGGAUCUCCAACUGAAGGAAGACCCGACAUUAGAAGCAUGUCAAGCAGAAUCACGGUGCGUUCACCAGAUGAAAAAAGAAAAGUAUUUGUUUCUAGAUCCCAUCUUUCCAGUAAUGACCUCAGUAACGAAUCUGAAACUUCAUAUUCACCGAGGGAGCAAUAAAUGGCCCCAUAUAUAUAAUCGGUGUUCUCCGCUUCGCCUUUCAAACAAAACGAGUGGUUAUUCAAUAUAGAUAUGCCCCACUCAACAUAGCCUUUGGAUUGCGGAACAUACUCGGCUGUGUGACCAUCCCAACCUAGACCUUUUGCUACCAUCCUGGUCCCUAGGGUGUAGGCUUCAUGAUUAGGUUUAGGAUAAGGUGCUAGUGGAUGAAAAGAAUAGUCACUAACGGUAGACCCCACAUUCCAACCACGAGGAUGGCGCGUCAAAUCCGCAUGUGCGAGCACCUGCCGUCUGAUCACUAGGUUGACCUCUUCACUAGUAUUAGGCUCAUAUAGAUGUCGCUCAGCUAACUGACAAAUCGAUAGUUCAUUGGAAGGAAUAGACCCCUCACCACGCGCCAUCUAUAUGUAAAAAGGCACAAAAUGAAUACGAUGGCAUGUAUAUGUGUAAAAGAGACGUCGGGUUAAAUAAGAAAAGAAGAAGGGAAACUCACGGUGGGUUACCUAGCUUUAUUAGCGACUAUCUCCAGCCAACAAUUUAAAUAUUCUCCCUGUAAAACAAAAAAAAGGAACACUCGGGUAAAUAAAAGACAUCAGACCCAAGCAUAUAAUGUAAAUGUUAUGAUGUGCUUGUCGCAAAAAAAAGAACAUAUUUUCGACAUAAUAUAUAUGUGACGCUUAUAAUAGUCUCCACGGUCGUCUGACAGACUAAGCCCACAUAUGGACUUACCGGGACGCCAACCAAAAAGAAAAGGAGACAUUUUUUACAUCAUAUAUAUGUGGUGGUUAUAAUCUUCCACGGCCGUACGACGGACCAAACCCACAUAGGGAUUUGCCGGGACGCUGACCGUGAGAAAAAAAUAUAUUGUUGGCAUAAUAUAUAUACAUGGCAUUUGUAAUCAUCUCCGCGGUUGUACGACGGACCAAGCCCAUAUAGGGACUUGCCGGAACGCCAACGGGAGAGAAAUCAUAUUUUCGACACACAUGCUAGGCUUGUUGUUCUCGACGGUCGUACGACGGACCAAGCCCACAUAGGGACUUGCCGGUUCACCAACCGUGAAAAAAAUAAAUUUUCAACAUAAUAUAUAUGUGGCACUUAUAAUCAUCUCCACGGUCGUACGACGGACCAAGCCCACAUAGGGACUCGCCGAGACGCCCACCAUGAGAAAAACAUAUUGCCGGCAUAAUAAAUAUACAUGGCACUUGUGAUCAUCUCCGCAGUUGUACGACGGACCAAGCCGAUAUACGGACUUGCCGGAACGCCAACUGGGAAGAAAUCAUAUUGUGAACAUAUAUGCUAUACUUAUUGAUCUCAACGGUUGUACGACGGACCAAGCCCGCAUAGGGACUUGCCGGAACGCCAACUGAAAAGAAAUCCGGGGCUGAUCAAAACGGUUGUACGACAGGCCAUUCUCAUAUAAGAACUUGCCGAGCAAAAUUCGUGAGGAAAUUAUUGGCAUAGGUUACAUAAAAGAAAAUUGAUCAAAGAUGAAAAGGAUCUAUACUACACAGAUAAGUCUUCACGGUUGUACGACGGACCAAGUUCAAACAAACUUGCCGGCACGCCAACCGUGAAACCAAGAUGUUUCUUGAUCACACAUACAUCCAGAAGAGACACCAUCCCUAUAUAUAAACAAAAAAUCACAUGUUGUAUACUGUGCGUUGCGUGCAUGACUACGGUAUAUAUCCUACUUUCAAACAAAGACAGGAAGGAGACGGACCUCGAAGAUAUGGUACCUGGCUGGAAAAAAACGUGCAAUCUGUUCUACUAGAUUGUAAUCAUCUCACCUAAAUAAAACAAAAGGGAGAGAUGGGAAGUCAGAUUAAGAUGCAUUAACCAUCUACUCCUAAGAGCAGCAAUCACGUACUCACCAACAUCUGAGGCAGGAAUCAAUCUACACUUCUGCGGGGGUUGCUAGCUUUUGUGCCUAACAAAAGAUAAAGUGAAGGUCAGUUGCAUGACGAAGAGGCAAGGCCAGAUGCAAUCGUUGAUUUAAUCGCGAUACAUACCGGAAGUCUCCGAAGAGUAGAGCUAGAUUGAGAUCGCCAAGGAGCCGUAGUAGCACACAAGCUGAAGCUAAAGGAUAUAAGGAAGAAGAAAAUAAGCUGGUUUGGUUACCAAACCAACGACGAGAAAAGUACCGCUCAGCACGCUAUGAGAUCUCGGCAACAACGCUAGCAGUUCAAACCAUUAGCUCCUUAUCCUUUGGAGUCUCAACUAAUUCUCAAGCCGGCAAACUUGUAACAACCCUCCAGGAUUAAGGCCUUAUCCACUUAAAUGAUCCAAACAAACUUAAAAUAACAUACGUACAACGCACCUGGCCGACUAUCAAGACGGCUAUUUUAAUAAAACAUGCAUACACCUCCAGCGCCAAGCCAAAUCUCUGAGGCACGUAAAAAAAAGAUACAUAUACUUUCGAGCUCUGAAUCCGAAUUAAAAAAAAACAUUCGCAUUCAGACCUCGAGAGGCAUCUGUUGACAUCGAUUUCGGCCAAAGUGAAACAUGGUGCUUAGAUAUUACUAAAAUAAAGUAAUUUAUAUAAAAAUAGCAUGAUGAUUUUCUACCGCGCCACUCAAUAUAAAACAAUAGACCCAGAAAUAAAAGGGAAGGGAAUAAACCAUAUCGCCAUGUAAAUUAGAGGAUAUAUACACAUACGCCAUCAUCAACGACGAAAUCCUGAUGUCGACACAAAUUCAAGUUUUAUAGACGAUGCUAAUAUUGUCAAUAUAUUAUAUCGCAUUUACGAGAAUUAUUCUAUCGUCACGAAUGAAAUAUCAGCGACAAUCACGUAAAACAAUAUGCUGCAUGGCAGUGUAAAAAAAAUCAAGUCACCAUAUAAUCAUGAACUUGUGAAUAUUUUCUCAUGCCAUUAAAAUCAAUUUGGCUCAGCUAUCCCAGUCAUACAAAUGGCUAAGUACAUGUGUGGUGCAAGUACGAGCAUGCAUGUGUUAUGCAUGGGUUAAUUAUACGGCAAGAUUAAGAGCUAAUUGAGUAAUUAGCCAGCUCAUGGCCACAACACGUAUAACCUACAUGCGUUAACUUAUUAUAAUCAGUUGGGCCCAUCCCACUAGAUUUUUUCAGCCCACUAGAGAGAUCAAAAAAGAAGUUGAUCACGUAAAAGGCUCAGUCAAGUGCCUCACGAUCGACGGAACGUGGGCAAAGCUCCCACUACCCCACGAUCACAAGACGUAAAUGUGCCCAGCCGGAGGCCUCCCGCUUCUCUCCUCGCUCCUAUAUAUACCAGCCCGACCAGCGUGUUUGGCUGCUCAUCGAUCAAUCACUCAUUCGCGAAGAAGCUCGUCGCUGCUCAUUCACAUCCAUCCAUCGCUGCUUGCCUGCCAUCGCUCGCUUGCACACACACACGCGCCUGCGUACACGCUGCCGGCUGUCCGUCUCGUCGUCGCGCCGACCGUUUGUCCCGUCUCGUCGUUCGUCCCGCCGCCGGCCGCCGUCUCAUCAUCGUCGACGUCACGCCGACCGUCCGUCUUGCCGCAUAUAUAGUUUCUCAUCUCUUGGUUCGGUCUCAUGGUGAGCUUGAUCCCAUGUUGAUACAAAUCAGGGAAAUAGAUGAUAUGCCUAGUCUAGUCACAUAUUGAUCUUCAUCCUAUAUACUGAUGCGAACUAAGUGCACAUGUGCAAUAAAAAAAAUCUUCUUGUCUUUGUCUCAUGAUACAAGUCAAGACUAAAAAUUAUACUCAUCUUGUUUUGGUCUUAUGGUGGUCUUGCACCUCCAUGUUGAUACAAUUCAAGAACAAAUUAUAUAUAUCUUGUUUUGGUCCCAUGGUGAUCUUGCAUCUCCAUGAUGAUAUAAGUCAAGAACAAAUUAUGUCCAUCUCGUUUUGGUCACAUGGUGAUCUUGAACAUCCAUGUUGAUACAAUUCAAGAAUCAAACCAUAUCCAUCUUGUUUUGGUCUCAUGGUGAUCUUGCAUCUCUGUGUCGAUACAAUUCAAGAACAAAUUAUAUAUGUCUUGUUUUGGUCUCAUGGUGAUCNNNNNNNNNNNNNNNNNNNNNNNNNNNNNNNNNNNNNNNNNNNNNNNNNNNNNNNNNNNNNNNNNNNNNNNNNNNNNNNNNNNNNNNNNNNNNNNNNNNNNNNNNNNNNNNNNNNNNNNNNNNNNNNNNNNNNNNNNNNNNNNNNNNNNNNNNNNNNNNNNNNNNNNNNNNNNNNNNNNNNNNNNNNNNNNNNNNNNNNNNNNNNNNNNNNNNNNNNNNNNNNNNNNNNNNNNNNNNNNNNNNNNNNNNNNNNNNNNNNNNNNNNNNNNNNNNNNNNNNNNNNNNNNNNNNNNNNNNNNNNNNNNNNNNNNNNNNNNNNNNNNNNNNNNNNNNNNNNNNNNNNNNNGUCAAGAACAAAUUAUGUCCAUCUCGUUUUGGUCACAUGGUGAUCUUGAACAUCCAUGUUGAUACAAUUCAAGAAUCAAACCAUAUCCAUCUUGUUUUGGUCUCAUGGUGAUCUUGCAUCUCCGUGUUGAUACAAUUCAAGAACAAAUUAUAUAUGUCUUAUUUUGGUCUCAUGGUGAUCUUGCAUCUCCAUGAUGAUACAACUCAAGAACAAAUUAUGUCCAUCUCAUUUUGGUCUCAUGGUGAUCUUGCAUCUCCAUGUUGAUACAACUCAAGAAUAUAAGAGAAAUUCAUGCUGGUAGAAAGCAAGAUAGAUUUUCUCCUUGUGAAAUAUGGGAGGCCAAGAAAAGUAAAUAUUGCUUGUCAUUUGCAUCGGCUUGAGCUGAUUUAGUCAGAUCACUCAUGUAUUACCCUCAUAUGAAGGCAUGUAACAACAAGUUAAAUUACAUGAUAGAUAAUUUCCCUAUAGCGAUUUGCACUACAUACGACAGAGUGUGCUUGCAAUAUGGAAAUACGUAAAAUAAAUUUGAUAUUGAAACAUGCAUAGUUAUUCAUAUAUAGCUAAACUUGAGUCGACAAUCUUCAUAGACCCCAUCAUGUCCAUGCAAAACGUAACAUACUUCCAUUUGAUUACACCAUGAGCAUACAAUCUAUGCUAUGCCGGUGAUAAUACAAGCAAGAAGAAAUCACCAUACUUCAUUUGGUUAUGCUACACAUGGGCACAAUGUUGCUACAUGAUGUUAGUACAAAUACAAGUGAAGUGAAAUGCACUUGAGAUUCAAACCCAUAUAAAUAUUUGACUAGAUUCAUUUAGUCGCAUAAGAUUAUCUCUCGGAUAAAUUAAAAUCAAACCAUGAAUUUCUUUCAUAUAGGUGCAUGCAUCUACGAAAUUUAACUGGGGUCAUAGCCUAUGUUGAUUAUACUAAACAUGGCAUAGUACAAUUGAAUAUGUCAUCGCCAAUUUUCAUAUAGUUCUCGCAUAUGAUGGCUCGGUGCAAUGCUUUAUACGUUGCUAUAAAGUAAAUCAAAUAUUCCGCCAUUUCAGGCAUGCAUAUAGAAACCACAUGCGUGUCAAAAUUAACUCAUAAAAAGAGUUAUGCCCCAUAUUGCACAUGCGCACAUUAGCUCGGCUGGUUAACCAUUAAAUAAAUCUUCAUAUGACUGAAAAGACAACCACUACAUAUUUGCAAUGGUUAAUAAGCUAGGCAAGAACGUGCUAUAUGAAUGAACAUUGUCAAAUCAUGAAUGUUAUGCAACGCAUAUGUUAGCAUAGACGAAGUUCAAGGCUCUUCGAGUACGCCGACGUCGAAGACCGCGAGGAGGACUAUUUAUUUCUACAUUUUGUAGUCUUCUUUUUCUACAUUUUGUAGUACUCAUGUGUUGCAAUUCUAUGUAAUAGGAUAGUUGGAAUUCUUAAUCAGGGGUUUUCUCUUCGGAGAUGUAAUUAACAGAUCUUUUAUGUAAAUGUAAGAGUUUUGAAAAUAAUGUACCUGCAAUGUUUGAUCUCUUUUUUAUUGUAUGCAUUUACGCAUUUAAAUAUAUUCAUUCUGUGUCAAUGAUGUGGAUGCGUAUUCUCACGCCCGCCAUUUUUCCGUCAUCAGUUUUGAAGUUGCACUGUCUUUAUGUUAGCAUCAUCAUCGUCACCACCUCCGCCGUCAAUUCCAUCAGUCUACAAAUGGAACAUGACAACAAGAUUAGUUGUCAUAUCCAUUAUUCAUACAUAUGGGAAAAUAGCAUUCAAAUAAGCAAAUGGUUCAUAUCCAGCAAAGCCAAUAGUUCACACACGAAUGGUACAGACCAACAACAUAGCAUAAUCCAAGCAUUCAAAUAAGCAAAUGGUACAGACCAACAACAUAGCAUAAUCGAAGCAAAGAACUAAGCAAUUAUUCUAAACGAGAAGUUACAUAGCAUAAUCAUGCGCUCUCUCGAGCCAAUCAAACCUUCCUUCCUUGGUCUGAACCGAUGCAAACAUUUCUCUAUACUCAGCCUUCAUAAAUAGCAUGCUCGAAGAGAAAAAGAGAGGAUUUCCUUCCUCAACUCCACAUUCACGAACCAUCUUCAUUGCCUCAUUCAUACUAGGUCCAACCGGAGUAGGGGGGGGAGCAACCAGAGGAGGGGGAGGACGAGCCAUGCUGGAGCUAGAUGCUUCUUUUAUACUUUCAGCCGUUACACAUAUCGCAUCACUAGCCUUCUUGUACAUCCGAACAAAUGGGUUCUUCUCAUCUUGAGCAGAAAAAUCAUCUUUACAGGACUUGGUCUUUCGCUGCUUCUUUGGUUUUGCUUUGAUGACUUCAUCAUUAUCCUCUGCACUAUCAGUGUCAUCACUAACAUCCUCCUUGUCCAAUGGUAUCUCACCGGGGAUAGCUGACUCGGCACCGGUGACAUGACGGUCAUCAAACAUGAGGUCCAUUUCAGCCAAGUUGGGUGGUCCUCCAUUCCUAUACUUUGCAUGCUCCGGGUUUUUUUGAAAUAUAGCAAAAGAACAAACGGUUAGCUAAAUGGAUAAUUAAGAUAAUAUAAACCCAAUGUAAAUGCUAUGAGUAACAUGAACUUACUAUUAGGUGAGUGUUCCACCAAUCAGUAUCAGCAUCAAUGGUUCCUAGCUUAGCAUUCCAUCCAAGUCCAGAUGCGUCAAUUUGCAGUUGUUUCCAUUGACAAUACAUAGUUUUGAGAUUUUCCCAUCUAUUCUUGAAUUGCAUCCUCACAUAACUUUUCUUAGUUAUCUGCAACCAACUCUCCCCUAAAUUCUUAUAUCCUCUAGGACUCAAGAACGCCCCCGGCCUAUUGCCUGCUUCAACUUCCCUCGCACACAACUCGCAAAAUACCCUAGUAUGGUAUGCAUCCCAAAUUGCCUUGUCUGUCUUGUCUGCCUUCUUCGCUGCCUUCUUCGCUGAUUUAUUCGUUGCCUUCUCCAUCUAGUUCAUUUUCACCAUAAUUUAUACCAGAAUACAGCACAAGGAAGAACUAUGUAUAGCAAACAAGCAUGUCCAGCAAGCAAAUAGAAAAAGAUAUGUCCAUCAUGAAACAAGCAUAGCCAUUUGACCCAAGCAGAGCAUCUACAUGUACAUCCAGCAAGCAGAGCAUCCACAACAAGCUUCAAAUAUUAAUUUACCCAUCAAUGAACAACAACUAUGCAUCAAAUAUCAGCAUCAUGUAUGAAGCCUCAAUCAACCAGAGCAUCCACAUCAAGCAAUAUGCAGCAUAUCAAUCAAGCAGGGCAUCCACAAAGAACAGAAAUUUCUGCCAAGAAAAUCUCACCCCAACUGACGACGACAUCGUUGCUCGAGGGAGUGGGCGUCGUUCUCCGGCGGUGGAUGAGAAGGCCAGGCGUUGGCCGGUGAAGGGGACCGGCGAAGACGGUGAGUGGAGGCGGCGACGGCUCUUGCCGCGGCGGUGGCGUCUCUUGCGGUGGGCGAGGACGAGUGGAGGUGGUGGCUACUGACAGCGAGUGGAGGAGGCGGCGGUGGGCAACGGCGAGUGGAGGAGGCGGCGGCGGGCGACGGCGAGCGGAGGAGGCGGCGGCGGGCAACNNNNNNNNNNNNNNNNNNNNNNNNNNNNNNNNNNNNNNNNNNNNNNNNNNNNNNNNNNNNNNNNNNNNNNNNNNNNNNNNNNNNNNNNNNNNNNNNNNNNNNNNNNNNNNNNNNNNNNNNNNNNNNNNNNNNNNNNNNNNNNNNNNNNNNNNNNNNNNNNNNNNNNNNNNNNNNNNNNNNNNNNNNNNNNNNNNNNNNNNNNNNNNNNNNNNNNNNNNNNNNNNNNNNNNNNNNNNNNNNNNNNNNNNNNNNNNNNNNNNGGCGGGCAACGGCGAGUGGAGGCGGCGGCGGCGGCUCUUGCGGUGGGCGAGGACGAGUGGAGGCGGCGGCUACUGACGGCGAGUGGAGGAGGCGGCGGCGGGCGACGGCGAGUGGAGGCCGCGGCGGCGGCUCUUGCGGCGGCGGCGGAACCCUAGGUUCCUCUCCCCUCGCUGUCUCUGUUCGUGCGUGGGCUUGCGAUGAGGGAGACGAGACGAAUGGAUUGAUUGAAACAUGGCUCGAUGGCAUUCCUUUCGUAAUUGCGCUGAACUGUCAAGGGCGUCGGUGGAAAUUUGACCGAGUGAAAUCAGUUUCCUGGUGAAAGCACGACUGGCCUCGCUUCGCCCUAUACCACGUAAAAAGGCCUGAAAUCAUUUUUAACUAUCAGCCGAAAACUGUCCCGUUUUAGCUGUUUGUUACAGCUUUAGCUUAUUUCUACCGAAAACUGCUCUCUAAAACCCAAACAAACACAGCCGUAUGGUAGCGGCCCCGCAAAACUGCAGAUACGUGUCGAAUCCACGCGGCCCAGCUCUCUUUCUCUCCUCUUUCACCAAGCCCUAGGCGCACCACCCUAAGCCACCGCAGCACCGCUGCGGCUUUGCCACCGGAGUUCGUCGGACCACCGUGUGGAUCCCGGUCCGUCGACGCAGGCGAGGGCCUCCGACGCCGAUCGAAGUGCUGCCGCCGCUGUUUGGUUAGUUUUUGGGCCCCCUCAAUUUGCGAUUCAUCCGUGCGGGGACAUGGUAGUUCGGUAGUUUCGGUCCAGCUGAUUGCAGCACAGUACAGGGGCGCUUUGCGACAAUCGCCUCAGGGGGUGGUUAGAUAUGCUGCAUUGAGUAAUCUGGUCGGUUUAUGGCCAACAGAAAUUUGGUAGUUUUGGUCUAGCUGCUCCCCGCCAAUAUCUGCCAUGAGAAUCGAUUUUCACAUGUAUUUGCAGAAAAAGGAAUGUUUUUAUGAGUAAUUAUGAUAGCAGGGCAAGACUAAUCAUUACUAAUGCUUUGGUCCCUUGCCGCUAAUCAAUCAGUGAACUGCAUUGGACAGACCCAGUGCUAGAAGCUCCCACACAAGGUUGGGGAAGGAUUAGUGAGCUGCAUUAGUAGAUGGUUAAAUCGGAUAACAUGCUUAAAGAUCCGAUUUGCUAUUACUCUUUUUUUUUGGGUGGUGGAUUAAUAAGUAAUAGGCAUUGUUUGCACUUGGAGACAUGUGUAGGUGCUGUAGUCAUAAAGGAAAUUGUGGGCCAUUGAUUUCUUGGUGAGUGUCUUGAAGUAACCUUUUUUCCUACCACUAGUAAAACUGAAGCGUGAAGAACCACAUACCUGUUUUAAUCGACGGGCUUGUGCAACAUAGAUAUUUUGGUGAUAAGAGUGGCGGUGAUAACAGAGUAAGCAGGAAUUGGUUUGCAUGGCUAUAGGAAUGUUGUUACUUUUGUUUUACUGAGUGGGCAUGGUUUGCUUAGAUGGUCGUGCGGCUCAGCCUGAAUAGAAUUGGCAAUGCAUCGUUCUGCUCCAGAGAGAUAGAGGAGCAUGCAUGACGAACCACUGUUUCUAUAUUCGCCCAUAGUGGUAUUAUUUGAGGAUAUAUCUCUUUUUUGUUUGAUUCGGCGUUUUCGUGUUAAUUUGAAUAGUAGGGUUCGGACUUAUAUAUCUCCUUAUGUUAGGUUGCUUAUUGCUAUUUUGUGCUCUGUUUUCAGUUUAGCCCGGUUGGUCCUCGACAACAGACUCUUCAGCUUGUUCAGUUCAUGCAAUGCAACCUCUGCGGCAACCGUUUCAACUUGUUGAUCAGGACAUGCCAGAAGCUAACAUGGGGAUGUCAGAGCAGAUGCCACAUUUUCCGCAACUUGGGCACCAUAUGCCUCACUCUGGUCUUGUUCUACCUGCACCACGAGCUGUGCUACCUGGUGGAUAUAUGCCAAACAUGGGUGCCCCUAUGCAGCCUCCGUUUUAUACUGUAUGUGUUUCACUGUUUUAUUUCGAUGUAUGCACAUGGAAGGCUUCUCCCUCGCAGUAGUAUAUAUCUAGAAUGUUUUCUCUUUGCUGACAAGCUAUUAAUUCUACAUUUCAGUAUCAACAAAUGUGGGUUCCUGUUCUAGUUCACCCCCUGGGUUCAACUCAGCAUCACACCAUGUCUCCUUGGCUGCCCUCAGUAAGUAGCAAGACCUUGGGUUCAUUUUCAUCACUUGAUUUUUGUCUGCGACAUAUGAUUAGUUCGUUUGCCACUUCAUUCCAUUUUUGUCUACUACAUAAAAUUGAAAAAGCUUUUCCCAUGCAUAAACUCAGUCUGCAAACUUGCAGGUUAGCUCAUCUGACCCUAGCCCUUUGGAUUGGCAAGAGCACUUUUCACAUGAAGGGAAAAAGUAAGUUGUCUUUGAAUUACUUUUUAACUAAUAACUUCCCUUGUGAUGUAUGGCAGCAUGAUUCAAUGUUACAUGCUUUGGUAUAUCUUACUUAUUGGCUUUGCUUGAUAUCAUUAUUUACCUAGGUACUAUUACAAUAUGAGGACAAAACAAUCAAGUUGGUACAAACCUGUCGAGUUGAUGACACCUUUGGAGGUCAGUUGUGAUGUGUUCUUAUUUGUUGGCUUUCCUACUGUUGUCUUUGUUCUCAUGAAGUCUUGACUAUAGUUUCAUUUUCUAUUUUCAGCAUAUUGUUAUUAUUUUAUCAACCUGUAGAUUUCCAUGGUUGUUUGUCUUGUACAACGCACCUGUGAUAUUGCUACUUUCGGUUUACUUGGAAAAAAGGAACUUCAGAACUUUGCUUGUGUAAGGUGACUAUUUAUCUGCAUUAGUAGCAGUGGCAACUUCUGCAAUGCGUGCCCGUGUUUUAUGCACUGCUUACAUUUUUCUCAUGACUGAUAUCUAAAUUUAAAAAGUUGAUGAACACAAUGGAUCACAUGACCUCAUGAUUAUGCUCUCUUUCAUCAACACAUUAGCAAUACAGCACCCUGGCUUCUUCCAUUUGAUCCGUACAAUUGCUUUCUUCCCAUUUUACUUACCUUUGUUAUAUUUCUAUAUUAUAAAUAUCUUGCAAUUAUUGUCGAUGAUUCUUUGUUUCUAUUCUUCAAGAGGGCAGUGCAAUUUCACUUCAGUGUUUGCUUCUGUUCUUCUGUUUAUAUUAAUGAGCUGUUACGGCUUUUAUUGCAUACCUUCGGUGAUAUAACAGAGGGCUGAUGCGACUACUGCUUGGAAUGAAUAUACUACGGAUGAAGGACGGAAGUAAGUUCGUACUGAAUUUAUUUCGCCACUGGUGUUUUCUUAUUUGGUUGGAAUCAUGGAUUUCCCUCAUUCCAAAGUCUCACUAUUCUACUAUUCCAGGUACUACCACAACAGAGUGACGAAGAAAUCUCAAUGGACUAUUCCUGAGGAGCUGAAGGUUGCUCUUUUUACAUGACAUCCAGAACUAUUGUUUUAUUACAAAAAAGAUUGGAAUGCUUUUACAAUUUCAUUUCGAUUUGUGUUUAGAUUGCACGUGAACUAGCAGAGAAGGCGUCAAGCCAACGGCCUGAUCAGGACGCUCAAACCACUGCUGGUGCCUAUGUUGGAUCCUCUUAUGCUGCUUCAAGCACACACGAUGCAAUGGCGGUCGUUUCUGAAAGAAUAGAUCAAGAGUUGAGGAUUUGAGUCUUGGCCCAUGGUAGCAACAGUUGCUUCAGGCUUCAGGCACACAUGGUGCUGUAGGUAGCGGUCAGUCAUCUGUGGUCUGUGGAACAUUAGAUCAAAAGUUGUUGAUUCGAGGAAAAAGUUCUUAAGAUUUUACCGAAGUUGUUAUAAGGUACCCGUUCCAGAGUUGCUAUACCGUAGUUGCUACUCCUUUGGGUAUAAGCUACCCUGAGUUGUGGUUUUUAGUAGUAAUAUUACUCCUUUCAUCCUUUGGGUAUGUUUACACGGCCAGUAGCCAACUUGUUUUGCACGUUAUUGAGCUGGUUACUGGCGAGUGGGGGUGGUUUUGCCCUUCUCCUGAACAUCAUUGGGUUGGUUUGGGGGCAACUAUAAUGUACUUCCUCCAUUUCUAAAUACAAUACCUUUUAGAGAUUUCAAUGCUGACUAUAUACAGACGUAUAUAGACCUAUUUGUAGAUUCACUCAUUUUGCUUCAUACGUAUUACCCCUGUCCUUGUUUAUUGGUCCCUUUGCAUUUUGUGCUAAAUUUUGACAUUAGAUAAUGAAUGUAUCCAAAAAUAAUCUCAAUGGAAAUUAUGUUUAAAUACAAAUCCAACAAUAUAAUUUUUGAUGACAUGCAUUAUUAUUUUCAUAGUUACAUCUAAUCGUUAUAGUCUGGCCCAAAAUAUUAAGGGCACCAAUAAACCAGAAUGGAGGUAGUGCUCCAUGUCGACAAGGUCUCAAGAGUAAUCUGUAUUGGUGCAUAACAUUCAGAAGGGCAGGACAUCCCCGGCCUUUACGGAUCAGGAGCGCGCCGAUCAGGAGAGCUGUAGUGCUACCAUAUGUCGUAGACAAUGAGCCAAGGGCUACAAUUCAUGACACACAGGCACAGUUCAGGGGAGACAAUUGGGCAACAAACACAAACAGAAAAUACAAGCAACAAACGAUUCAAGAGUCAUAUACCAGCGAGGGCAAACAGCAUCAUUAGGAACAACAAUUCAUCAGACCACCAUAUUACCUGGCAGGUACUACUAGUCUGAUCUCACAGCCCAAACGGAAUAUUGCUCGAGCUAGAUACCAAAUUACCAAAGAUGGAUUCAAUUUGCCAGACAUUGCAAAAUUUUCAGACCAACACCCCUGAAAAACUAGAGUUCAACAUCGGCUUGCUUUUAAAGAUAGACUUCUGUUUAG